UUAAUUUCACAAAGACACGUAUGUAAACAUAUAUGUAUCGAGUAGUAUAUACAUGGAACAAAUUAACAAAAUCUCAAGACCUGGGAAAGGUUAAAAUUGACUUGGCUAACCAGCAGGUCAUAUACAAGGCACUUUAUAUAUGUGCAUAUAAACUGAAACAUACCAAAAAGAAUAUGUUGCAAUUUAUACAUAGAGCAACGAGAAGAAUAUUAAAUAGCUGGUCGUUGUUGAGCACCAAGUAAAGCAUAUUCAUCAUAAAUAGGAGCUCUAAGCACAGCGUGCAAGCAAACAAUGAUGGUGACGAAUACAGACCAGCCUAGCAGCACAGCAUAGCACGCGCUAUAACGGGCGGAUCCAGCGGGGUUCAACUGAACCCCGUUAGAUCCGGAAAAAAAUGGGAAUUUUAUUAAAAAAAAAAAAACUAUAUAAAUAAUAUUCGAAACAAUUACAUACAAUGUUAGUCCACGACCCUGCUGCAGCGUCACCGCCACCGGACCCCUACUCGGCUACUCCCCUAGCCCCCUAGGUACAAUUCCUGGAUCCGCCAGUGCAUUAUAACGAAGGGUAAAGCAGUGACGACUACAAGCAGCCCAAAGAAAAUACGAUGGUAUAGAGGAGAACAAGAGUCAACGUAGAGGACAUAACACGCCGCCAUGUUAAAGACCAGAUAGAGGAUGUAAAUUAGUAAAGGGUAGGGGCGAAAAACAGUAAUGCCUAAGAUAUGAUACAAUCUGGGGAGGAAUAACGCAACGUAGUUGAGUUCAAAGUGAGCUAUGUUGCUUUUCUGGCGAGUUUUGGUGGGAAGAUAGUAUAAGUAGAUGCCUAGACAUUCAAAAUACGUUGUCAUGUAUGGUACUUCGGGGGUGGUGGUGUCACCCGUUGCCACCGCCUGCGACGCUGACAUUGUCGAGGGGCAGGGCAACUUGACAAUGUCAGCGGCACCGUCCUUGUAUGGGGUGUUAAUGUGUAACGUUCAUUUAGUGGACUUUUUAUAAUAACAUGAUAGAAUAGACAUUUAAUUAAUCUAUUAAGCUAGUCACAUCGAUCAUCAAAAUAAAAAUUAAGUUUGGAAUCACUCAACUUAAUUAUUUUACUCAUUCUACUCGCAUCUUUUACUACCUUUGUUUCAUAUUAGUUGCAACUUUGGAAUAUUUUAUAUUUUACAAAUUAUUCCAAAAUUGCAACUAAUAUGAAACGGAGGUAGUAAUUGAUAUCAUUGUGAAAUGAGAUUCAUCAAUUUCAUUCCUAAGAAUUGUAUGCCCCAUUAAUUGAAGUUUCAUUUGAACAAGUUGAUUUACAUCAAGAACUUGAUGAUGAUCAUGUAAUUAUGUCAUAUAUGAAGUAUAUAGUAUCUAUGGGUUUUUAAGUCA